CAGAGUUCAUGCCCUUCGGGGUAGAUCUCCCACCCGUGUAUUUAUACCUUUGUUGCUUUGGCAGGCCCGCCUCGGCCACCGGCUUCGGCUGGUGAGUGCCUGCCAGAGGACCCCAAACUCUGAAUUUAUUGUCGUCUGAGUACUAUAUAAUAGUUA
rnacentral:misc_RNA from 1 species